rnacentral:rRNA from 1 species
AGAGUUUGAUCCUGGCUCAGGACGAACGCUGGCGGCGUGCUUAAUACAUGCAAGUCGAGCGAGGUUACUGUUUUGGAUCCCUUCGGGGUGAAGAAGCUUUAACCUAGCGGCGGACGGGUGAGUAACGCGUGGGUAACCUACCCCAAAGUCCGGGAUAACAGCGGGAAACCGCUGCUAAUGCCGGAUGCCUUUACCUUGGGGCAUCUUGAGGUAAAGAAAGGUAACGCUUUGGGAUGGGCCCGCGUCCCAUUAGCUAGUUGGUGAGGUAACGGCUCACCAAGGCGACGAUGGGUAGCCGGCCUGAGAGGGUGGACGGCCACACUGGGACUGAGACACGGCCCAGACUCCUACGGGAGGCAGCAGUAGGGAAUAUUGCGCAAUGGACGGAAGUCUGACGCAGCGACGCCGCGUGAGCGAUGAAGGUCUUCGGAUCGUAAAGCUCUGUCCUUGGGGAAGAAGGCGAAAGCUUGACGGUACCCAAGAAGAAAGCCCCGGCUAACUACGUGCCAGCAGCCGCGGUGAU